CCUACGGGUGGCAGCAGUGAGGAAUAUUGGUCAAUGGGCGCAAGCCUGAACCAGCCAAGUAGCGUGAGGGAUGAAGGCUCUAUGGAUUGUAAACUUCUUUUAUAAGGGAAUAAAGUGAGGGACGUGUACUGUUUUGUAUGUACCUUAUGAAUAAGGAUCGGCUAACUCCGUGCCAGCAGCCGCGGUAAUACGGAGGAUCCGAGCAUUAUCCGGAUUUAUUGGGUUUAAAGGGUGCGUAGGCGGGUUGUUAAGUUAGUUGUGAAAUGUCCGGGCUUAACUCUGGAACUGCAUCUGAUACUGGUGCUCUUGAGUAUAGUUGAGGUAGUCGGAAUUUGUGGUGUAGCGGUGAAAUGCUUAGAUAUCACGCAGAAAACCGAUUGCGAAGGCAGCUUACCAAACUAUAACUGACGUUGAUGCACGAAAGCGUGGGUAGCAAACAGGAUUAGAUACCCUUGUAGUC
rnacentral:rRNA from 1 species